rnacentral:lncRNA from 1 species
UGGAGCAGCCUGACUGCUCUCGUUUAACACAGCACUUGGCCUGGCUUUCCUCUGCACCUUCUCACCAUUUGCACAUAAAACACCAAGGGGAACAACUGCUUUCCUUGGUGUCCAGCUGUGUUCCUUGGUGUCUGUUUUCCAAGCAUGGAGGAGAAUGGCUGGUUCUAUGAGGGCAAAAAUCUUGUUGCUUCAGCUCCACAAAGAGGCACUGCACACUGAGAUUAUGUCAAUAUGAGGAAGUCGGAGUGACAAGGAACAUUUGCAGGCACUGGGAUACCAUCACCUACGCUACAGAGCUGUUCCAGUGCCCCCCAGAAACAACCUGAGUGCUGUGGAAUGGUCUUUGCACAACAUUUUGGAGGUUUAAAGAAUUUGCUAUUCAGGCUGCAGCAUGCCAGUUUAACCUCAGCAUGCAAGAACAUUUCCAGGCACAUUUAGCCUACUAAUAUAAACACAGCCUAAGAGAUUCAGAAUGUAGUGACACUGAGUCCCCAGAGUGAGAAGGAGAAUGGGUCUUCAGUCAAGAGGUAAUAAAGCACCUUUCCCUUCCCA